rnacentral:lncRNA from 1 species
GAGCUACGGCUAAUUAACUUUAAUUAAAACUCUUUGAAUGACCUAGCAUUGACAAUGUUGGUCUACUAAUUAGUACUGCGUAUAAUUGUACGUCUAUACGCUUACUUAUGCUAUCAUCCAACAAAUAGUUCAAUCACAAUGUACACAUAGUAUAAUGUAUCCUCAUUAAUUCUACAAGAUAUCUUAUGUUAAUGAUUUAAUAAUUUAUAAGGUCUUUCUUAAGUCAUAAACACUUAUUAGAUCCUUAAACAAUUUAUUAUAAUUAUUUAAUUAUUGAGUCAUUUAAAUUAUCUUUAUUUAUUAACUCUAUCUUCAUUUAAUUACCAUUUAAUAUUAGUUAAAUAGUAAUUAAUUAAUUACCUUUAGUUAUUAUUUAAUAAAUAAUAGCUAAUUACAUCUACUUAUUAUUUAAUGUUAAUUAAACAAUAAAUAAUUACAUUAUUAACAUUAUUUGUCUUUAAUUAUUAUUUAAUAUUAAUUAAGUAAUAAUUAAUUAUUUAUUUAUCCUCGAAUAAUAAAUAAUUGCUUUAUUUUCUUCAUUAGUCUUUAAUUAUUCAUUAAUAAAUGAAUAGUUAAUUAACAUUGUCCUUAUUUAGUAUUAAUUAUUUAUCCUUAAAUAAUAAAUAAUUAAUUCACUUCAUAAGUCUUCUAUUAUUCUUUCUUAUUAAUCUAAGAAUAAUUAAUUAUCAUUUGUUCUUAUUUAUUAUUUAAUAUUAACUAAAUAAUAAAUAAUUAUUUUAUAAAUUUUAUGUCAAUGUAAUUAAGUAAUUAAAUUAUUCUUACUUAAUCUUACUUAAGCAUUCUUUAAUCAUUAAUUUAAUAUUAAUUAAUCAAUGGUUUAACUUUAUUUUUUAUUUAAUCUUAAUUAAAUAAUCAAUAGUUACUUUAUUAAUAUUAUCUCUACUUAAUUAUAACCUAAUAUUACUUAGAUAAUAAUUAAAUAAUUAAUUACACUCAAAUUACAUGUGCUUAGUUUAAUAAUCAUUUAACGGCAUUAAAAUUUAUAAAUUAGUAAGUUUUAAAUGAGUUUAAACCACUAAUUACUAAAUAAUUACAUAACUGUCCCGAAAAAUUAUGAAUUAAAUAUCUUAAUAUUCUUCAGAAUUUUAGAAAAAUUUGGGUCCAAGAACCAUCUCCGGAACCGGCCAAAAACUGGUCGUACCGGUCAUCGAAAAAUUCUGGUCGGUUCGGCUAAUAGUUGAACCGGGAGUAGGUUUCCUAAAAUUUUCUGAUUUUUCCAAAUUUGGGGUCCUUCACUAAAACUUAAAUAAAAUAAAAUCUAUAACUCCGAUUUAGGUCCAAUUGGUCUCGUUGAAUUCAUAACUUCCUGAACUAUAAUUUUCAUUCAUCAAAUAACAAAUUUGGUUUUGUUUUUGUCCCGAAAAAUAGCCCAGAAGUGGUUGUUCAUGCAACAAGCUUUCAUAGUUGCAGUGUUUUAGUAAUAAAUCCAUAUCUUGCUCAUUUUUUAACAUUUUUACAUGUUUCCAAAGAGGUUUUGCCCUCAACUCAUAGUUCUAGUAUACCAAGAAACAAAAUCACAAAAACCAUUUGUAAAUUUCAAAAUGAAAAGCAUGGAUCACCCAUUUUGAAUAAAUUUUUCUUAAAAACUACUUUAACUUCUUUUUCCCCAAAUUUCCAACACAAACUUAUAUAUAUGAACAAGUUAAAUAUAUUAUACUCAAGAUUUAUCAUUCUCAUAGGUUUCUAGCCUUUUAGAACUUGGACAUCCAUAAACCCAUCACAAGAUUACAUAAAACAUACAAAACAUAAAACUAAGGUUUGAUUUUUCUUACCUAGUCUUGUGGGGUGUCCUCCUCUUCUUUCCAAACUAAGUUAGGAACUUGGGAUGCAUAAACAACUUACUCCUUUUCCUCCCCAAGAAUUGAACCUCUCUCUCUCUCUCUCUUUUUCUCUCUUUGUGUUUUGCUAGUUGAGAGAAAAUAAAAGAAAAAGAAUAGUGGAGAGAAUGAAAAAUGAAAUGAAGAUGUGGUGAAAUGAAAUGGGAUGCCGUAUUUAAGCUAAUAUCCCCCAUGUUCUUUUUGUCCCUUGGAUAAAAGGCUUAGCCUUAUCUCUUCCUAAUCUUGGUUAAUCAUGUCAUUAAAGAUGCUAAUUAGAUUUUCCACCAAUGAGAGCAUGACACACUUGUCCUUGUUGUAAGAACUUCCACUUAAGGAACAUGAUUAGCAUAAUCUUUUUGCCUUAAAAGGCUUAAUGUGGCCGGUUUUCCCAUGCCCAAUAUCCCCUCCAUUUUGCUUUUAUUUUAUUACACAAAUUUGAAUAAUCAAAGGUCUAAAAUACCCUUAAUCAAGUGGGCAAAAUAUGGGCUUGUAUUUUAUUUUAUUUUUGGGCUCUCCUUUACUUGUUUUGGACUAUGUAAUAAACAUAGUUUAACAAUAUUAAUAUAAAUUACCCUAAUUGUUUAUUUAGGGUUUUCAUUUCCAAUCUUAUGGAAUUUAAUUACUUACACAUAUCUCUUUAACUUGUAACCUAGUUAGGUUUACUAUAAUUAGGUUUAAAAUUAUUAAUCACUUACAAUAAUAAAAUUAUCCACUUAAGUUAGUAUACAUAUUAAAUACUAACCAUUCCUUAUUACCAUAACCCUUAGGUUAUUUAAUUGUCUCACCAAAUGUAUAAUUAGGUUAUGAAGCUUUCAUUUUUAAUUAAAUCUAUAAAUGUAUAUAUCCAUAACUAUAGUAUAUAUAUUUAUUUAAUUAGUCAUACACCACUUCACAUAUGUUAUCACAUAUUAAAUCACUACAUAGCACAAAGUUUUAAAUAUUAAUAAUGUACAUAAAUAUAAAUUGACCUGAAAUUCCUAGUUAUUACAAUCUUCGUCCUUCUCUUGUGCCUCUUUAACCUUGUCUUAUAAAGUCGGGCUCGCUGCCACUAUAAAUAAUUUUUCGUUGGUCUCUAUCGGAUACUUAACCUCCAAGUCCAGUCGUUCGAAAUCAUCAAUUCCUCUUGAACGGUCAACUUCAUUAACUUCUCCCUGCCUUUUCUGCUCAGGGCAUCUGCCACUACAUUUGCUUUGCUUGGAUGGUACAAAAUCUCACAAUCAUAAUCUUUGAUCAAUUCCAGUCAUCGGCGCUGCCUCAUGUUUAGCUCUUUCUGUGUGAAGAUAUACUUAAGACUUUUGUGAUCUGUAUAUAUCUCACAUUUCUCACCAUAUAAAAAAUUCCUCCAAAUCUUUAAGGCAAAAACUACUGCUGCUAACUCCAGGUCAUGAGUUGGAUAACCCUUCUCAUAGUCCUUCAGCUGACGUUAAGCGUACGCAAUGACCUUGUCAUGCUACAUCAGCACACAACCAAGACCAAUGUAGCACCCAACCAAGACCCUUGCUGACGCAUCACUAUACACUACAAAUCCUCUCGUGUCGUCUAGUAAAGCCAACACAUGUGAUUAACUAAGCCUCUUCUUCAGUUUCAGGAAACUCUCCUCACAUUUCUCCGUCCAAACGAACUUCACCGUCUUUCUAGUAAGAUUGGUCAACGGCGAUGUUACCUUCGAAAAAUCCUGGAUGAAUCUCCAAUAGUAUCCUGCUAAUCCCAAGAAACUCCUAAUUUCUAUCGGUGUCUUCGGCUACUCCCAAUUGAUAAUUGCUUCUACCUUUGCUAGAUCCACCAAAACACCAUCCUUGUCGAUAACGUGCCCCAAAAACUGCACUUUCUGCAACUAAAAUUCACACUUGGAGAAUUUUACAUACAACUUCUCCCUUCUCAGCGUCUCCAACACUAUCCUUAGAUGUUCAGCGUGAUCUUCCUCUGUCUCUGAAUACACUAGAAUGUCAUUGAUGAACACGAUAACUACCUUAUCCAAAUACUGCUUGAACAUUUUGUUCAUCAAGUCUAUGAAUGCUGCUGGUGCAUUCGUCAGCCCAAAUAACAUUACCAGAAACUCAAAGUGUCUCUACCGAGUUCUGAAUGCUGUCUUUGGAAUUUCCUCCUGCCUCACCUUCAGUUAGUGAUAAUCGGUCCUCAAGUCGAUUUUCAAAAAGUAUUUCACCCCCUUCAACUGAUCAAACAAAUCGUCGAUCCUGGGCAACGGGUACUUGUUCUUAAUGGUGACCUUGUUCAACUCUCGGUAGUCGAUACAAAGCCUUAAUGACUCAUCUUUCUUCUUUACGAAUAAGACUGGUGCUACCCAUGGUGAUACGCUCGGUCGAAUGUAUCCCUUAUCUAACAACUCUUAUAAUUAAACCAUCAGUUCUUUCAUUUCUACCGAAGUCAUACAAUACGGCGCUUUAGAUACCGGUAAUGUCCUUGGUGCCAAGUCAAUAACAAACUCUACCUCCUUAUCCUGUGGCAAUCCCGAAAUCUCAUCUAGGAAGACAUCAACGAAUUCCCUUACAAUAGGUACAUGCCCCAGUUCACCCUCGACUCUGCAAGUAUCCACAACGUUAGCCAAAUAACCUAUUCAACCCUUCCUAAGCAACUUUUUUGCUUGCAUCAUCGUCAAACAACAAGAUUGUCUCGGUGAUUUACUACUAUGAAAUACCGCCUUUGACUUAUUCGAAGUCUUCAAGUGUACGCACUUUUUCUUACAAUCAAUGAUCGCUCCGUGACUUGAUAACCAAUCCAUCCCAAGGAUUACAUUAAACUCUCCUAGACGAAUCGGUAUCAAAUCCAUGUUAAGCUUAAACCCUCUCAAAUCGGCACAACAAUUUCUAUGAAUAUAGUCUACAGGGAUAAUUUAUUUGUUCGCUACUUUUACAUUCAUUGGGUGUUGUAAUAGUUCACGAUGUAAAUUCAAUCUUUGAGCAAAUUCAUCAGAUACAAAAUAACAUGAAGCUCUCGAAUCGAAUAACUUAUAGGCAUUUAUAUUGUUGAUUAGAAUUAUACCUGACACCACCUCCCUCGAUACAACAACAUCUUACACUGUCAUGUUGAAGGUUCUCGUUGUUGGCUUGUUUGGCUGGGUUGGUCCUCCACUAGUUGCCCUAGUGUUUUGCCCCUAUUGCCGCUUCCACCAUCCGUGCUUUUCUUCCUUGGACAGUCCUUGAUCUGAUGUCCUGCUUCUCCACCUUGGGACAAUUGGGUGAGAUAUGCCCUUCUUGUCCACAGGUAUAACAGACCAUUUUUCCUUUCAUACACUCUCCCGAGUGACCCUUUCCACAAUUCCCACAUACCUGAUUCUUCUGUUGCACACUUCCUUGCUGAAUCUCCAAAUUAUUGAAACCGUUGCUCCACUUAUGUUUCUUUUUGUUGCUGCCACCACUGCCAACAUUCUGGUUUCCACCUUCUAUUCUCUUCUUGUUCUUCUCCCGAUUGUACUUUGAGACUGCUUCACUCCUGCCUUUAGCUGUGAGAGCUUUCUCCAACAGAGUUGAGAAUAACGUAAUUUAUAAAACUGCUACCUUGCUAUAGAUCCACGGCUUUAACCUAUUUUUGAAUCUUCUUGUUUUCCUCACCUUCGUGUCCACCUGAUGUAGAGCGAAUCUGGCCAAUUCAUUAAAUUUUGUACUGUACUCUGACACUGACAUAUUAUCUUGUUUUAGCUCUAAAAACUUGAUCUCCAUUUUCGUUUACGUACUCUAAUUGGUUUAUGCUUAGAGUACUAAUUCCCUUAGAGUACGUAAACGAAAAUGGAGAUCAAGUAUGAAGAAUCAGGUAUGUGGGAAUUGUGGAAAGGGUCACUCGGGAGAGUGUAUGAAAGGAAAAAUGGUCUGUUAUACCUGUGGACAAGAAGGGCAUAUAUCACGAUUCCAGUUCCAGCUUUGCUCUAGUUGGUUUCCCACAAAAAGUUAACCUCACCCUUUAUCCUGGUCCUCUCCAGCCAAAUAACCUAUACAACCCUUCUUAAGAAACUUCCUUGCUUGCAUCAUCGUCAGACAACAAGAUUGUCUAGGCGAUUUGCUGCCAUGAAAUACCACCUUUGACUUAUUCGGAGUCUUUAGGUGUACGCACUUUUUCUUACAGUCAAUGACCGCUCUGUGACUUGACAACCAAUCCAUCCCGAGAAUUACAUCAAACUCUCCAAGACGAAUCGGUAUCAAAUCCACGUUGAGCUUAAACCCUCUUACAUCUGCACAACAAUUCUUAUAUAUGUAGUCUACAGGGAUAAUUUCUUUGUUUGCUACUUCUACAUUCAUUGGGUUUUCUAAUAAUUCGCGAGGUAAACUUAAUCUUUGAGCAAAUUCAUCAGAUAUGAAAAAACAUGAAGCUCCCGAAUCGAAUAACACAUAGGCAUUUAUAUCGUUGAUCGGAAUUAUACCUGACACCACCUCCCUGGAUGCCACGGCAUCUUGCACUGUCAUAUUGAAGGUCCUCGUUGUCGGCUUGCUUGGCUGGGCUGGUCCUCCACUGGUUGUCCUAGUGUUAUUUCCCCUGUUGCCGUUUCUACCAUCCGUGCUUUUCUUCUUCGGGCAAUCCUUGAUCUGAUGUCCCACUUCACCACAGUUAAAGCAACCUCCUUUCUUCACCUUAGGAUAAUUGGGUGAGGUAUGUCCUUCUUGUCCACAGGUAUAACAUACCAUUUUUCCUUUCAAGCACUCUCCCGAGUGACCCUUUCCACAGUUUCCACACACCGACUUCUUUUGUUGCACACUUCCUUGCUGAAUCUCCAAAUUACUACCCCCACUGCUCCAUUUCUGCUUCUUGUUGUUGCUACCGCCACUGCUAACAUUCUGAUUCCCACCUUCUACUUUCUUCUUGUUCUUCUCCCGAUUGUACUUUGAGACCGCUUCGCUUCCACCUUCCCGCUUUUAGAGCUUUCUCCAACAAAGUUGAGAAUGACGUGAUUUGCAAAACCACUACCUUACUGUAAAUCCACGGCUUUAGUCCAUUUUUGUACCUUCUUACUUUCCUCACCUCCGUGUCCACCUGAUGUGGAGUGAAUCAGGCCAAUUCAUUGAACUUCGCAGCGUACUCUGACACUGACAUAUUCUCCUGUUUCAAUUCCAAAAACUUGACCUCCAUUCUCGCUUGUGUACUCUCAGGGAAGUAGUUCUCAAAGAACAACUUCUUGAACGCUUCCCAAGCCACGAUCCCAGUCCCGGCUUUGUUCUGUUUGGCCUCCCACCAAUAGUUAGCCUCACGCUUCAUUAAGUAGGUAGCAAAGAUUGUCUUCUGCUCUUCUGCUACUCUAGCAAUAACGAAGGCCUUCUCAAUCUCCUUUAUCCAUGUCUGGGCCUCUAUCAGGUCUGUUGUUCCUCUAAACUCCGGCGGUCCUACUGCCUUGAAGUCCUUAAAGUUGACUAAUUGGCUUCCCGCCUGAAUUCCUGCAGGUUGAGCUUGAUUCUUCAUAGCUUCAGCCAUCAUGUUGAUAAAGUCUUGCAUUGGGUUCGAUUGAGCUCCCGCUGCAUUAUUAACUGACUCUUCGAUCUCUUGGUUCCUUAGUACUCGUCUGGGCGGCAUUAUCUAGUGAAACAAAAUUCUAACACGUUACUCGGGUUUUAUUAUCAUAUAAGUACAUAGCAUGUAACACGCUACUGUAUUCAAACAAUCAUAUGAUCAUUAUGUGAGAGUUUUUAAGUUACCAAGAUUUGGAAGUCUUUCUCCCUGAUUAGUGGGUUAAGUUUGUUUUUAUAAAUUUCCAAAUCAGUCUACUGGAUUCACAUAACAUUAAAUAGGCAAUUUACUAUUUAAAUUUUUCAACACAUCAUAAUAAUAAUGCAUUUAUAUUCAUAUACCAAUCUUCAGUGUCUCACUCACAUGAUUAAUACAUGUAUAUUUUUAUAAAUGCUACUAUCCCAUUUAAACACAAAAGAUAGGAUUCACUCAAAAUGAUACUUCCCUAUGAACACAAAUAGGGAUACUACCUACUACCUCACACCUGCUGAGGUUUACAUCAUCAUAAAACCCUAUUACACAAAAAGGGGUACUAAUGCAUUUAUCUACAACUGGGACAUCACAUAAUCAUCACUGGUGGCCCUAUUGGGUCACCUGCAUAGGCUCCUGGGGAAACAAACCCUCCAUAACCCUAUGCCGAACGGAUCAGCUCGACUCCCCUAUCUCCUCGUGAGGCCUGACACUCACCCCCUUCUGGCUCUGGAAGGCUGCAUCAAGCGCUAGCCCUAAUGUCUCUAUCCUGGUAUCUUUUGCCAGCAGCUCACCCUCCAACUGGUCGACCCUCGUAACGGCAUUGUACCAAACUUCAUCCAUCCUAGUCCUCUCCACCCUUUCCAGCUCAAGAUCAGCAAUCAAAGCCUGCAGCUGCACCCUCAGCAUCCCAACUUGCAACUGGGACUCGUCCAACUUCCCUUUCUGCUCGACCACCUCCAUCUGGGCUUGAAAAGCUGCAUCCUUGUAUUGACUUCCGGUGAAUUGGAGGGUGUGGUUUUCAACCUCUAAUUCACCCACUCUGUCUUCUAGUUGACUGAUUCUCCUCAGCAAAUCCUCUACCGGAGGACCAUGAGGGAUAUCUCCGGUGACCUCAUGCUCAAUGGUCUCCUGAUCUACUGAGUGACUGCCCUAGCGCUCGUCAGACAUCCUACAAACACCAUAAAUAAAACCAACAUCAGUACCACAAUAAAAUAUAUUUAUUGAUAAAAUGAAAUAAUAUUUUAUUAAGUACAACACAAACUCGACGAAUUUCCACAAUCCAUCUCCUAACAUACUCUAUAAAGUUUUCUACUAAGGUUAUAACCUAGGUUUCGCAUUCCUAAUGUUUAUAACCUACAGCUUUGAUACCAACUUGUGACGCCCCCAAAUCCAGGUUCUCUAACCUCAGAUUCGGUGCUCACGAUCUAUCAUCAUCAUAAGCAUUCUAUAACUAUUACGAAAUAACAAACAUACAUUGUUCAUUAUAAUAAAGUCUCAUAACAUGGUCCCAAGGUCUUCAUAACCUUAACUUUAAACACACCAUUCAAUAUACAAAAAUUUUACUUAAAAAAUUCCAUCAGAUAAUAAUUAAAUUAACAUUCAUUCUAAACUACUCCUGGAUCUUGCCCUUGCCUUUGCCAUUCUCCUUCGUGUUAGAUCCUUUGGGCUUAACUGAAAUAGAUGUCAUGAUAUAGCAAGAAUAAGCAACUAAUUUGCUUCGCAAGUUUAUAUACAAGGGAGAUAUAUCAUGACUUAGAAAGAAAUAUUGCGUUCAAUGUUCAACAAUAGUAUAAGAUUGUGAAGGAACAUGAAUUAAUAAUCAACAAUUGAAUAUUCGAUAAUUAAAUUACAUGAACUGAGUGGUUUUGAAAUAACCAUGAACAUUUGCCAAGGUGCUCAGUUAUUUAAAUUGGACCUCUUAAUAAGUUUUGGUAUUCAAGGGGAUCAGCCUUUCAUACCUCGUGAUUUAUGCAUAAACACUUAAUAAUCCGGCAUUGAUAUCAUGCCUUAAUCAAAUUCGUCCUUUUCUCAGUCAAGAGUUCUUAUCAUAUCAAUUUAAUAAGAACAACUAUUUAAAAUACAUUUGAUUUAACAAAUUUAGACAUGCUUGAUCUAGCUGAUACAACUAGCAUAGAUCUAUCUCAUAAACAGUUCGUGAAUGAAAGAACUUUAAUUUAAUUCACAAUUCAAUAAUAGUAGAACAGGAAUUCAAUUGCACAAAGUGCGAAUUUCAAUAAUCAAAAUAGAUAUGAAUAAUCAUCAAUAAUUAUUCACUAACAUGCUUUGAAAAUAAUAACUCGAGUUUGAGUUAGGAAACUUUCCUCGUCGGUAGAUUACGGCUAUGCAAUUAAAUUAUAUCCACUAUGCAGUUAAAUUAUCUUCUUUUGAGAGACCUAUAGUUAAUCUUUCAAUUAGUCAUAGCAUAACAUUAGAGUAUGCAAUCAAAUAGAUAUUAUACAUUACAUUUAGUUUUUAUAAACAUUAUCCUGCCUAGAUAAUGUUACUAUUAAAUAACAACUUAAUAUUAUUAAUCUUGAUAAUAUUUAAUUCACCUCUUAGUAUUAUUAGUUCCCUAAUAAUACUUUCAUUCGCUUACUAAUAUUAUUAACAUCUUAAUAAUAUUUUAAUACCUUACUAAUAUUAUUAAUCAUCUUAAUAAUAUUUUAAUCAUGCAUUAAUAUUAUUACCUUAAUAAUAUCUUACUUAUGCUUUAGUAACAUUAAUAAAUUAAUAAUACUUUUAAUUAUUUAUUAAUAUUUUAUUCAUUUACUAAUAUUAUUAAUCAUUUAAUAAUAUUUUAUUCAUUUACUAAUAUUAUUAAUCAUUUAAUAAUACUUUAUGCAUUUAUUAAUGCUUAAAUUAAAUAUUAUUAAUCAUUUAAUAGUAUUUUAUAGAAAUUUUAAUCUUAAUAUUUUUAUUUACUUAACAAUAUCAUAUUCUAAUAUUAUUAAUAUCAUAAUAAUAUUUUAAUAAAGUUUUAAUCUUAAUAUUUUUAUUUACUUAACAAUAUCAUAUUCUAAUAUUAUUAAUAUCAUAAUAAUAUUUUAAUAAUUUAAUGGAUUAAUAAACAAUUUAUUCUAAUUGUUCACCAUUUAUUAAACCUAUUAUUUAAUAUCCAUAAAAGGUCAUAAAUGAUAUUUCUUAUCAUAAAUUACCAAAAUUCCCUAAGAUAGUCAUGAUGUAACAUAUUAUGAGUAUUCAAGCAUAAAAAUCACAUUUUUAUUAUUAAAGACAUCAUUUAGCUAUUUAUUUCCUUUUAUUCAUAACUUAAUCAUUUUUUGGAAAAAUAGCAAACUGACUCCAAAAAAUCUCAACUUCUGGAUUUUGGCAAAAUAUGAACCAACAAUGAUCCCCUAAUUUUUUUGGAAUUUUAGAAAAUGAUUUACUAUUUUUAAAGUGCCCAAACACUCGGAUCUUGCUCUAUUUUUCAUAAAUUGAGUUUUGCUCAGAAAAAUAUGAAAUUUUCAGUGUAUGCUCUCCUAACAUACAUGAACCUACUGUAAAAAUUUCUGAAUUUUUUAGUGUAUACACAAUGAGAUAUUCGAAGGUUAAUAUUUUGGAGUAACUAUUUUAGGAUUUUGAACCCUUAACAAUCAAAGUGGACUGUUUUGGGGAAAACAGUCCCAAAGCUUUCAAAACUUACUAGAUUUGUGUUCUAUCACUUGGGUUUACUAGGUAACUCAUGUAUCUAGCACCCCCUUUUGAUGGAUCACAAAUCCAAGUUGGAAAACUUGAGUUACACAAGAUUUAGUGGAAGAAAAAUAAGAGUUUUCACCCUUGGAGAACAUAUGCUCAUAUUCUUUCUCUAAGCCUUUGAUCUAACACUCAAGAUACUUAGUUCUAUACGUGAUGAUAUGUAGAACUAGGGUAUUUUGAGUAUUUGCUCAUAACCCCAACAAAACUCAAGCUAUAAAACAAAGUAGAAGAAGAAGAUGAAAGUUAGGUUAUACCUUGAUUUAUUGGCUACCUUCCUUGAUUUACCAAAGUAGUAUCUAAACUUAGGAUGCAUGAACAAACUAGCACUCCUCUCUCUCUCUCUAUGGCCGAACCUCUCUCUUUUCUCUCUCUUGAAGUUGCUAGCUUGGGAGAAAAAGUUAAAAGAAGAAGAAUGAGAGAAAGUGGAGUAUUCUAGCAAAUGAGAAGAUUGAUUCCUUAUUAUCCCCCAUACUUUCCUUGACCCAUGGAUAAAAGCUUUGCCUUAUCACUUCAAUUAGUCUAAUCAUGAUUAAGGGUGCUUAAAAGAGUGGCAACCAAUGGGAGCUUGACAAACAUGUCCUUGUGUGUAAGAGUUACUACUAAUGGACAUUGAUUAGCUUAAACAUCUUGCCAUAAAAAGCCUAAUUGGCCAGUCCCUUUACCCCCAUUUUAUCUCCCAAUUUGCUUUUAUUUUAAUGCACAAAUUUGAUUAAUCAAAAGUCUAAAAUACCCUUAAUCAAGUGGGCUAAGUAUUGGUUUGCAUGUUAUUUCAUUUGGGCUCCCUCCUUAAUUGUUUUGGGCUAUGUAAUAAACAUAGUCUAGCAAUUUUAAUAUAUGUUACCUAAUUUGAUUAUUUAGGGUUUCCAUUCCUAAUAUUAUGAAAUUUAAUUGCCUACACAUGUGACUUUAGCUCAUAACCUAAUUAGAUUUACAAGAAUUAGGUUUAAAAUUAUUAGUCACUUGAAAUAAUAAGUUUACCCACUUAAGUUAGUAUACAUAUUAAAUACUAACUUUUCCUUAUUACCAUAACCCUUAGGUUAUUUAAUUGUCUCACCUAAUGUAUAAUUAGGUUACGAAGCUUUCAUUUUUAAUGAAAUCUAUAAAUGUAUAUAUCCAUAACUAUAGCAUAUAUGUUAAUUGACUCAUGCACCACUUCACAUAGGUUGUCACAUAUUAAAUCACUGUAUAACACAAAAUUUUAAAUAUCAAUAAUGUACAUACAUAUAUAGUGACUUAAAAUUCACGGUUAUUACAAUUGAUUCCAUUGGAGUGUUAUAGUUCAAAGUCUAUUUGACUAGCAGUUAUUCUAAAAGCAAUCGUUAUCUUUGGUUGCGAUAUUCAUAUUGUUGAAUCCUUCAGAUAUUCAUAUUGUUGAAUUCAUUAUCAGUUAUUUUUCCAUUCAUCAUGAUAUAUCCUUAUUGUUGUAUUUAAAUUUGUUGAGCAAACUUGUUGCUUAUCCUUGCUAUAUCAUGAAUAUAUUGCAGCUAAGCCCGAGACCUCAGGGAAGGACAAGGGUAAAGGAGAGAUGUAGAAUAGUGGCAAGAAGCAGGCUUUACCUUGCGCUUAGUUUAAAUUAUUGUUAUGUAAUAUGAAACCUAAUGAUUAUUUUAGGGUAUAUUUGUAAGAUGAUAUUAAGAUUAUCGUACCUUGGGACUAGUAACACCUUUUGAAUGAAUGACGUACGUUUAUUAUAUUUCGCAUUUUAGUUAUCGUAUAUUGUUUAAAGGUGGAUGUUUGUAUUUUAUCGUGAUGACCGAACCGGGGUCAGAGGACAAGGAUUCGGGGGCGUCACACCAGAAACUUAUUAGAAGAUAUGCAUGAUUCAUCAUUGAUCAUACCAUGUCCAACAAGGUACGAUUCCUCCUCUCAGACACACCAUUCCAUUGUGGUGUUCCAGGUGGAGUGAGUUGUGAUAUAAUAUCACACUCCAAUGUCAUCAAAGUCUUGGCUUACGUAUUCACCUCCUCGAUAUAAAUUUAAUGAAAUAAAAAAACCCACCUCUUGUUAACGAACUUAUGGGUCCACAUAUAUCACUAUGUAUAAGUCCCAAUACAUUGCUAGCCCGUUCACUGUGUCCAGUGAAAGGGACUUUAGUCAUCUUGUCUAAUAAACAAGACUCGCAUUUCUCAUAUGAUUCAAAAUCAAAUGAAUCCAAAAACCCAUCUUUAUGGAGUUUGGAUAUGUGUUUCUCAUUUAUAUGGCCUAAACAACAGUGCCAGAGAUAUGUCGGAUUUGAAUCAUUUAAAUCAUUUUGUAUUUAUGUCAUAGAUAAACAUUUCUAAAUCAAGAAUAUAAAGACCAUUAAAUAGUUGUGCAACACCAUAACAUAUUUUAUUUAAGUAAAACGAACAACUGUUGUUCUUUAUUAAAAAUAAAAAACCUUUCUUCUCCAAACAAGAAACAGAAAUAAUAUUAUUGCUCAUAGCAGACACAUAAUAAAAAUCCUCUAAUUCUAAUACUAGCCCAGUGGGCAAAGAUAAAUGAUAAGUUCCUACAACUAGUGCAACAACUUUUGCUUCAUUCCCAACUCGUAGGUCAACCUCUCCUUUCGCCAAAGUCCUCCUUCGAAGUUCCUGCACAUUAACACAAAUGUGAGAAUCACAUCCAGUAUCCAAUACCCAUGAUGUAGAAGUGGACAAAUUGACUUCUAUAACAUUUAUACCUGAAUCAUAAGUCACACUUCCUUUUUUUUCUUCAGUUCUUCCAAAUAAGCAUGACAAUUCCUCUUUCAGUGUCCAGAUUUUUCAUAGAAGUGACAAUCACCUUCUUUAGCCACGUCGCCUUUAGGUUUUAAAGCCUGUUUGAUUUUGGAAUUGGGUUUGGCACCAGAUUUAGAUCCUAUUUUCUUCUUCCCUUUCCCCUUUCCCCUUUCCCCUUUCCCCUUUCCCUUAACAUUCCCCUUUUGCACCAUCAUUAUGGGAGUAGGUCCUACCUUUUUCAUGUUGUUCUCGACAGUUCUCAACAAGCUCAACAACUCAGCAAGUAGUUUCUCAAUUUCAUUCAUGAGGUAAUUCAUAACAAAUUGAGAGUAACUAUUGUUCAAAGAUUGCAAAACAAGAUCAGUUUGAGCUUCCGGAGUAAUCGAAAAACCCAACCUAUCAAGGUACUCAAUAUACCCAAUCAUUUUUAGUACACGUGGACCAACUGGAUCACGUUCACCUAUCUUGCAGUGAUACAAUGCUUUGCUUGUAUCAUACCUUUCCUGUCGAGCAUGCCCUUCGAACAAUUUCUUGAGAUGCUCGAUCAUCUCAUAAGCAUCCAUCUCAUAAGCAUCCAUUAACUCAUGUUGCUUCUGAAGUUCAGAGUUCAUAGUUGCUAGCAUGAGACAACUCACGUCCGGAGCAACAUCUUGAUGCUUCUUGUAAGCAUUAUGCUCUACACGUGGUGCAGUGUUAGCUGGUGCUGUAGGAAUAGGCCCAUCAAGGACAUAUCUUACGCUCUUGUUUGAGGACAAUCCUCCAGUUUAAGAAAUUAAUUCCACUCAGUUUUUUCUUCUCAAGGACUGAUCGUAGUGAAAGAUUAUUUGUGUUGUUAUUUGCCAUUGAUAUCUACAAUUUAUAAGUGCAAAAAUAAUAAGUCAAAUUACAGAGUUUUUGAUAUUAUGUAAUUGAUAAUAGUAAAUUCAAAAUAUAACUAUGACACAUUUUAUUUUGCACUUUAUUUAUGCUUGUAUACAAUAUGAUAAAUAAUAUGCAUUGUGAUAAUUAGGUUAUGAAGCUUUCCUUUUUUUAAUGAAAUCUAUAAAUAUGUAUAUCCAUAACUGUAGUAUAUAUAUAUUUAUUUAGUCAUUCACCACUUUACAUAUGUUAUCACAUAUUAACUCACUAUAUAGCACAAAAUUUUAAAUAUCAAUAAAGUAUAUACAUAUAAAGUGAUUUAAAAUUCCUAAUUAUUACAUGGAUAGCCGACCCUUGUCAUGCUUUAUUUCAUGCAUUAUCACCAAAACAAUUUUUCAAAUCAACAUAAUAAAGAUCUUAUAAAAUACAAAAUCACUUCAGAAAUAGACAAAUUUAAGGUUAAAAAUCAAAUGGCAAAAUAGGGUCUGAACACCGAGUUCUCCAAAUCCUCUCAAGAAGCGUUUUAAUCAAAAUAAAAUUAAAAAUUAAAGUUACGGCUCAAUUAUUAUAAUCAAACCUUUUCAAAUUUGUCGGCGUGUUUGUUAGUCUUUUUUCCUAAAAUCUCACCCUUAAAGAUAAAUUAAUCGAUAUAUCAAAAUAAAAAAAAGGUAUAAACGACACAGGAAACAUUAAUUCCCCCGACGUCAACAUAAAUUCAACUCAAUUCUCAAAUCAAAAUUCAAAAAGUAUUAUCAAUUCAAAAUCAUCUUAAUUUUAAUCUUCAAAUUAAAAAUUCAUCUUCAUUUUCAAUUUCAAAUUUAACUCCAUAACUCAAAUAAAAGCUUUAAAACCCAUAAAUUCAGAAUCCUAAAACUUCAAAUACAAAUUUAGGUUUUCAAUUCAAAUGCAAUUUAAAAAUCUUUAAAUCUUUAAUAUAAAUAUAUAAUUGUUCUAAACAAAUUUUAAUAAAAAUUCUCAAAAAUAUCCAUCAAAACAAUUUAAAAUUUACAGACACGUAGAAUUUUAUUCUUGUUCUUUCAAUGUAAUAUCAUUUUCUUUUCCAAGUGUAAAAAUAAUCAAGAAAUAGUGGAAUGAGAAACAUAUUUAUGGAAUAACACAAAUCACACUUAUGAGAUGACACAGAACACAAUCACUAAUAAAAUGACACAAGCAUGUGACUCACUUUCUAAGACAACCUUUUUAAGUAAAAUAAAAAAUUUAAGAAAUCGCGAAAAUUGUGUUUCUCAAAAGUCCAAGUGCCUGGCUCCUUCAUCCUGCUUAUUAGACAAACACCCAAACUUUUAAAUCUCAAUUAGUAGACCAACUUAAUUGAGUUACAAUUAAUCGGGUUGCUACAUUCAAUUAAAACACUACCAGUUAGCAACAUUGAAAAUUUGACCUAUUAAUUGAAAAAAAUUCAAAACCCCCAUGGAAUCCGUUUUUAAUUGAAAACUUGAAAUUUUUUGACAUAAUCAAAUUCGUUUCUAAUCCUAAUUUUAUAAUAAAAUUCUAUUUUAUUAAUUGAAAACCUAAAACUUUUUGACAUAAUCUCAAAAUCAAACUCCAAACUAGUUGACGGCCAAAAAAUCCAAUUUCUUUCAACCUUUGGUUAUUUUUAGCCCAUUUUUUAUAGUUGAAUUCCAUGUUAUUUCAAUUUUUGCCAACAUCGUAAUCCUUCCAUUCACACUCACCUAUCUGCCAAACAUUGCAAGUAAUUCACUUAUAAGUGAAAGAUUAUCCCGAACAAACACUUUGGAAGAGUUUAUCCAGCUCACAAAAUGUGUAUACAUGGAAAGAAACAAACACGGGUAGACACUUUGCAUAAACAAAACAAUAUAUUAUGAGUACGAUGUUCUUGAUAAGUAAGAUUCUCUAGCAAAAAAUUUAGUGGCCUAGCAGGUCAAAACAGGAAAUUAAAAAAUACCUUAAAAAAAUACAAACUCACCUUUGACCAUCUCUAGCAAGAACCACCAAAUUAUUUAAACAGAAAAAUCAGGGUCGAACAAUCCCGUAAAGCGAACCAUUCUAUAGAGCUCUGCAACGCAGAUAUAAUUUCUCUAACACAAAUAUAAUGAAGUAAUAAUAUUAAAACUAAAUAAAACUAGGAGAUCUGAUUAGAGGAUCAUCAAUAUACCUUUAGGCGGGCAGGCAGGAGGCAUAAAUAAAAUGUAUAAUAAAGUUGCAUCAUCUUUUCUCCUCUUCUUAGCCACUCAAAAAGAGGACAGAAAUGUGUAGAUUGUAGAGAGAUGUAUGGGGGCGGCGGUGAGGGAAGAGGGGAGGGGGAACCCUAAUCUAUAUAAUUAAAAUGAUAGCAAUGAAAAUAACCGUUUUUAUUGUAAAGUGAUUGAUUCCCUCAAUUAUGAGGGAAC